rnacentral:rRNA from 1 species
UACGUAGGGGGCGAGCGUUGUCCGGAUUCAUUGGGCGUAAAGAGCUCGUAGGCGGUUUGGCAAGUCGGGUGUGAAAUCUCUGGGCUCAACUCAGAGAGGCCACUCGAUACUGCUAUGACUAGAGUCCGGUAGGGGACCAUGGAAUUCCUGGUGUAGCGGUGAAAUGCGCAGAUAUCAGGAGGAACACCGAUGGCGAAGGCAGGUCCCUGGGCCACUACUGACGCUGAGAAGCGAAAGCGUGGGGAGCGAACAGG